GAUGAACGCUGGCGGCGUGCCUAACACAUGCAAGUCGAACGGAGUCCAGCCUUUAAUACCUUCGGGUCAAAGAGGGGAAGACUGAGUGGCGGACGGGUGAGUAACACGUGGGCAACCUGGCUCAUAGAGGGGGAUAACAGAGAGAAAUUUCUGCUAAUACCGCAUAAGCACACACUGCCGCAUGGCAGAGGGUGAAAAGAGAAUCGCUAUGAGAUGGACCCGCGUCUGAUUAGCCAGUUGGCAGGGUAAGAGCCUACCAAAGAGACGAUCAGUAGCCGAUCUGAGAGGAUGAACGGCCAGAUUGGGAAUGAGACACGGACCAAACUCCUACGGGAGGCAGCAGUGGGGGAUAUUGCACAAUGGGGGGAAACCUGAUGCAGCGACGCCGCGUGAGUGAAGAAGUAUUUCGGUAUGUAAAGCUCUAUCAGCAGGGAAGAUAAUGACAGUACCUGAAUAAGAAGCCCCGGCUAACUACGUG
rnacentral:rRNA from 1 species